CGGACGGGUGAGUACCACGUGGGUUAUCUACCAUCGGGUGAGGAAUACCGGCGAGAAAUCGCCGACAAGACCGCAUAGGUUUGGAAACAAACAAAGUCGCAAGACUCCUGAUGAUGGGCCUGCGCCCGAUUAGCUGGUUGGUGGGGUAAUGGCCUACCAAGGCUGCGAUCGGUAGCUGGUCUGAGAGGAUGAUCAGCCACACUGGGAUUGAGAACGGCCCAG
rnacentral:rRNA from 1 species